rnacentral:rRNA from 1 species
UACGUAGGGUGCAAGCGUUGUCCGGAAUUACUGGGCGUAAAGGGCUCGUAGGCGGCCAACUAAGUCAGACGUGAAAUCCCUCGGCUUAACCGGGGAACUGCAUCUGAUACUGGAUGGCUUGAGAUUGGGAGAGGGAUGCGGAAUUCCAGGUGUAGCGGUGAAAUGCGUAGAUAUCUGGAGGAACACCGGUGGCGAAGGCGGCAUCCUGGACCAACACUGACGCUGAGGAGCGAAAGCCAGGGGAGCAAACGGG